CAAAUAGAAUUUGGCAAUACAUAAAAAUAUAUGCCAUGAGCAAGUAAAGUAUACUUCAGUAAAGUAAAGCUGUGCAAAUAGAGGAUAAUUUCUACUUGAUAAAGAGCAUCUACAGAAACCCUACAGCUAACAAUAUACUUAAUAGUGAAAUAGUGAAUGUUUUCUUACUUUUUUUUUUUUUUUAUUGACCAGGCUGGUGUGCAGCGGCUCCAUCUUGGCUCACUGCAAUCUCCGCCUCCUGAGUUGAAGUGAUUCUCCUGCUCUGACUCCCAAGUAGCUGGGAUUACAGGGGCCCAACACCAGGCCUAGCUAAUUUUUGUAUUUUAGUGGAGAUGGGGUUUAAACUGUUCCUAUUUGUAGAUAAUAUGAUGAUCUAUGUAGAAAAUCCCCCCAAAAUCCACAAAAACUCCUAAACUAAUCAUAUUAAUAAACUAUUUAGCUAAUAAGCAAGCUCUGCAAGGUUACAGGAUAGAAGACAAACCAAUGUAUGAAAAUCAAGUGUAUUUAUAUAUUCUAGCCAUGAAAAUGUGGACACCUCAAUUAAAAAUACAAUACAGUUAUAAUCACUAACAAGCAGGAAACACUUUAGGGUAAAUACAACAAAAUAUAUAGAACUCUAAGGAUGUUGAGGUUGGGAGACUAUCCUAGAUUAUUUUGGGCGUCUAAAAUGUAAUCACAAGUGUCCUUAUAAGAGGGAACCAGAGGGAUAGUUGACGCAGAAGUGCAAGUGGGAGGUGAAAAUGAAGCAAAAGGUUGGAGCAAUGGACUUUGAAGAUGGAGGAAGGAGUCCUAAGCCAAGCCAUGCAGACGGCCACUAGAAACCAGAAGAGGCAAGAAAACAGAUUCUUCCCUCAGAGCCUCC
rnacentral:lncRNA from 10 species